AGAUUGCAGUGGUGGCUGUGAUGUGCAAACCACAUAGAUGUCCUCACAUUAGCUUCACUGGAAACAUCUGUGUCUACUGUCCCGGUGGACCUGACUCUGAUUUUGAAUACUCCACACAGUCGUAUACCGGCUAUGAGCCAACGUCCAUGAGGGCGAUCCGAGCACGUUAUGACCCCUACCUACAGACCAGACAUCGAGUGGAGCAGGUCAGACAACCCCAGCACUCUGUAUAG